rnacentral:rRNA from 1 species
UGAAAGGAGCUUGCUCCUCGAUUCAGCGGCGGACGGGUGAGUAAUGCCUAGGAAUCUGCCUAGUAGUGGGGGACAACGUUUCGAAAGGAACGCUAAUACCGCAUACGUCCUACGGGAGAAAGUGGGGGAUCUUCGGACCUCACGCUAUUAGAUGAGCCUAGGUCGGAUUAGCUAGUUGGUAGGGUAAAGGCCUACCAAGGCGACGAUCCGUAACUGGUCUGAGAGGAUGAUCAGUCACACUGGAACUGAGACACGGUCCAGACUCCUACGGGAGGCAGCAGUGGGGAAUAUUGGACAAUGGGCGAAAGCCUGAUCCAGCCAUGCCGCGUGUGUGAAGAAGGCCUUCGGGUCGUAAAGCACUUUAAGUUGGGAGGAAGGGCUCAUAGCGAAUACCUGUGAGUUUUGACGUUACCAACAGAAUAAGCACCGGCUAACUUCGUGCCAGCAGCCGCGGUAAUACGAAGGGUGCAAGCGUUAAUCGGAAUUACUGGGCGUAAAGCGCGCGUAGGUGGCUUGAUAAGUUGGAUGUGAAAUCCCCGGGCUCAACCUGGGAACUGCAUCCAAAACUGUCUGGCUAGAGUGCGGUAGAGGGUAGUGGAAUUUCCAGUGUAGCGGUGAAAUGCGUAGAUAUUGGAAGGGAACACCAGUGGCGAAGGCGACUACCUG